UUUAGAAAAAUACUUAUACAUUAUGAUAUUUACACCAGAAGUGGUGUGAAUCAUAGCCAGUUGCAUUCUGUAAACACCUUGGUUACAAAAAUGAUCAAUGGAGUUCUUUAAUAGAAUGCAAGUCUGCCAUUGUUUAGAAAACACCUGAAUCGUUUUCAGGAUUUGAAGUAUGUCAGCAUUGUCUGAACACAGUGGUCAAAUGCUAUCAAGUGAAUGAGAAAUCAUCACUCAGUUCAACAUUUAUUGAACACCACAAUGCUAGAAUCUAGGAAUUCAACUGUGAAUAAGGAAGUUAUGGUGUACUCUCUGUAAACUUCUCAUAAAUAAUGUCUAAAAUACAACAACAUUCCUAUUGAUGUAUAUUGCUUGCUUCCAAAGACUAUGACGCCUGUAUCCUCACACGUACAUCACCUUUAUUUUUCCUAUUCAGGUAGGCUUGGUGAUGAAGAUGGAGUAACGAAACUGACAGGUAAAUGAUAUUGCACCAGAUUAUAACUGAUAUCAGGAUGAUUUCUGCUUUUCAGGAGUGGCCACAGGUACCAAAGGAUGGCACAUCAUACCAGGAAUUUGUUGAUCUAGUGCAGUGGAACUGCAAGGCAGAGUUCAGCGGUAUCGGGAUCAAAGGAUUAGGAAGCCGCAGCUUUAAGGGAGGCAAGCAGCAUGAGAAGACUUUGUGGAGGCAGCUCUGAGCAUUUUAUCAGGCUGAACUAUGAAAAGCAACUAGAGGACAUUCUCCCCCUUGAAGAUAAUCACUUUUAUUGUUGCCGGGUCAAAGAUUCAGAUUCCACGCAGCAACCUCUGACUAAAGAACAGCAAGUCCUUUCAGGUCAGAAAGUCCAAUAUGCAGCCCCCUCAGAAGCAUAGCAUAAUAGUCCUAAAAUAACAAGCAUACAUGUAGCUUUCUUAAUUUGCCCUGCUGGGUUCCUGUAAUAAGUACUUAACAACUGUAGGCUCUGAGCAGCUCAGCAGACAUCAACAAGACCAUUUGCCAGAUGAUUUAGCAAACAAAUUUCCGAGCAUCUCAUGCUUAUGUUGAGUGCGUGACAUUAGCAAACAUGCAGGGACUUAGAGAUAAUAAUAGUAGAUAGGAAUUUUACAAAUUAAAAAGAGAGAGAAAGAAAGAACGGGAAUUUUGAAGUCUAGAGAAUUUAGGCUGAUAUGCCAAAUUCUCUGGCUAGAAUGAAGUCCCCCAGAUGAAUACUCAGUAACUUCUGCUAAUUUUUUACUCCUUGAGCAAAUAAUCUGAAAUUGAGUUAUUGGGAAGGGACAAAAACUCUGGAAUGACUUCCAGGGGAGGAAGAAAAGAAUAGAAACCACCUUAUUUUUUAGCACAAGUAACUGACAUGAAGCAAGCACAAAACACGAAAGGUUCUCAGUAAAUAUUUAUUGAAUGAAUGACUCCAUGUCUAUGACACGCAUGAGGAAUUGACAUCUCCAUAAAGAAAGCUAGCAGAUUCUCAACAAAUCAUAGGGGUUAGGUAAGCGGGUAGGGCGAAGGCAUUCAUCAAGGAAUCCCUCUCCAGUGUCAGGAAUCCAAGGCUCAGAGAGGGAGACAUUCUCGUGAAUCCAUCAGCAGCCCCCUGGCCCAUAACAGACUCCUUGAGAUGCUUCUAAGUGAGAGGGAAUCCAGGUGGCAAUGGCACUUACCAUUUUAAGAGCUGGAGCAAUCCUGAGGCUCUGUGGGGAAAGCAAUCAUCCCCAAAACAGGAAAACAAAUCUGACAAUAGAGCAGGGCUGGUCCUCAAUAGCCUGGGCAUGAGGAGCCAGGAAACCUGCUCUGAGGAGGGAGGUAAUUAUCCCAUCACUUCAGGUCACAGGGAAAUUCUAUUCUGUUUUCCGAGGCAACAUUUUUAACACUUACACAGACAUUUUAAAUGUGAACAACUCAAGCAAUCAUCCUAUUAUAUCUGUUAGUUUAGCUGAUUUCUUUCUUUUUUUUUUUUAA
rnacentral:lncRNA from 1 species